rnacentral:lncRNA from 1 species
UUUCCGUCCUAUAAAACCCCCAAAAAAUCUCAACCAGCUAAACAUGAAAAAGAUUACAUGCAUGCAAUAAAAAUAAAAUUGAAGCACUUAUUCAAAAUAUAAAUGAGACUUUCGAUCUUCGCCACUAGUACCUAUAUACUACUCCAUCCUUCCGUCCCGAAUUAGCCGUCCGCUCAAAUGCCCGUGCGUGUGCGUGUGUCGUCAACAUACUGACUGACGGGUGCUAAACUUCUCAAUUCAAACUCUUGGACAAGUGGAAAACAGGUGGUAAAACCUAAUCAAGAAUGUAAGCUAAUCAUACUGAUUGGACACAACAAACAAUUAAAGCACUGGACCAAACUUGUCAUCGUCGCGGCCACCAUAUCCCCACCCAACCAACCAGACACAGCACAAACAAACACACACAUUGUAUUUAUUUCACACAGCAGCGGCACCAGGUGUCCUUUUCAAUCCAACCAAUAGGGGACAGAAAGGAUACCAACGAGACAACACACAAGAAGAAACCCCGAAACUAAAUUAAAAACUUGUCAUGGCCUCUAGCUUCUGUUUACAAUGUACUUGUUCAGAAUUCUGGUACAAAACAUGCAGUACAAUACACCUACUAGAUUGUACUUUUUGUAAAACAAAACCAGACAGACACAAUGAGUGAUGAUGAGGUAAAAGCCCAACACUGCAGACACCAGGUAUGAGAUCGGCCUAUACAACUACAUCUCAGACUCGCGCUACACACACGCGCGCGCUUAAGAGGCGCAGCGGGUUGGUUGCUCAUCAUCUACCGCCAACUCUUCCUCCUUACACAGCACAAGCACAGUACUGAGGGCCUAUAAAAAGUAAACCCACACGAUCAUCAUCAAGAUACACAAGCCUACACGGCAGCAGCCACCCCUGCCCUGCUGGGUGGGUAGGGUAGGGUCGGACCAAGGGACAACAAGCCAAGUCGCGCUUAUUUGCAGCAGAACGGGAGCAAGUGAGAUGAGCUGUAGUAGUAGUAAGUAAGUAAAGGGCUACAACACCAGUGUGAUAUGACGAUGGCCGGGGCAGUGUCAUCAGCCUCUUCCAUAUGAACCGCUGCCGCCACGCUGAGGAUACGAGUCUUCCUGCCCGCCACCCCUCCCAUAGCCUCCUCUGCCGCCACCGCCACCGUAGUAGUUAUCCUGUCCACCACCACCACCACCACCACGUCCCAUGUUUCCAUAGCCUCCCCUCCCACCGCCGUAGUAGUUCUCCUGGCCGCCGCCCCUUCCAAUGUUUCCAUAGUCUCCUCUCCCACCGUAGUACGACCCACGGGAACGCCCACCACCCCCGCGGUAGCCACGUCCACCGCCACGGUAGGGCUGGCGAUGCCUUGGGAAAUCACCAAAAGUCUGCACAAAGAUAACCAUCAGAGACAGAUAAAUAGUGUGUCAAUAAAGAAAGAAUAUGGCCAAUCAAUGUACCUCUGUGUCCAUUUUCCUCAGUUCUGAAAACCUUGGCCUUCCGUUUUGCCCUCCGCGUCCAAAUGUUCCACCAGAAAGGGAAUCGAAAAAAUCAUCCUUGACAUAGACAGGCUGGAUACAGGAUGAAUGACAGGUUGAUAUUUUGCCCCAAUAAACACAAAACGUAUAACAUAAGAAACUAUCAAACCUUGACAUCUAACUCUGGAUUAUCUGUUUCCUCAUACUCUAGGUCUUCAUCAAAUACAUCAUCUCCUUGGUCGCCAUCUUUAUCCCUAGACUGAGAUUUCUUACCAAGAUGGCCCCAUACUUCAUCUUUGUUAAACUUCUC